GGGGGCGUAGCUCAGUGGUUAGAGCAACGGUUUUUUAAGCCGUGGGUCGGAGGUUCGAGUCCUCCCGCCCUCA
rnacentral:tRNA from 1 species